rnacentral:rRNA from 1 species
GCGAACGCUGGCGGCAGGCCUAACACAUGCAAGUCGAACGAAGCCUUCGGGCUUAGUGGCGGACGGGUGAGUAACACGUGGGAACGUACCUUUUGGUUCGGAAUAACGCAGAGAAAUUUGCGCUAAUACCGGAUGAGCCCUUCGGGGGAAAGAUUUAUCGCCGAAAGAUCGGCCCGCGUUGGAUUAGGUAGUUGGUGUGGUAAAGGCGCACCAAGCCUACGAUCCAUAGCUGGUCUGAGAGGAUGAUCAGCCACACUGGGACUGAGACACGGCCCAGACUCCUACGGGAGGCAGCAGUGGGGAAUAUUGGACAAUGGGCGAAAGCCUGAUCCAGCAAUGCCGCGUGAGUGAUGAAGGCCUUAGGGUUGUAAAGCUCUUUUACCAGGGAUGAUAAUGACAGUACCUGGAGAAUAAGCUCCGGCUAACUCCGUGCCAGCCGCCGCGGUAAGAC